GUACAUAAAGCUAAUGUAUUGAAGCGCUGGUCUUGUAAACCAGAAACAGAAAAUAUUUCUAUGUACU
rnacentral:tRNA from 1 species